GUACCCUCGGGGACAUCUGAUAAAAUUGGAACGAUACAGAGAAGAUUAGCAUGACUCCUGCACAAGGAUGACACAUAUAAAUCAAGAAUUAAAAUUAUAAUUU